rnacentral:rRNA from 1 species
CACGUAGGGUGCGAGCGUUGUCCGGAAUUAUUGGGCGUAAAGAGCUCGUAGGCGGUGUGUCGCGUCGGCCGUGAAAACCUGCAGCUUAACUGUGGGCUUGCGGUCGAUACGGGCAUCACUGGAGUUCGGUAGGGGAGACUGGAAUUCCUGGUGUAGCGGUGAAAUGCGCAGAUAUCAGGAGGAACACCGGUGGCGAAGGCGGGUCUCUGGGCCGAAACUGACGCUGAGGAGCGAAAGCGUGGGGAGCAAACAGG